AAUUGCGCGCCAAAAUGUGUUUCUUUUUGUUCAGCUUAGUUCGUUAUUUCAAUUUUCGGUUAGUCGAAAAACAGAAAAAAAAACAAAAAAAAAUGAGUGCCACAGCCGAACGAGCACUUGAAAAACAUUACAAAAUAAUGCAAAGCACACGGAGCGGAGGAAGAGCAAAAUGCUCUCGGUGCUGCCGAGUAGAAGAGGGAAAUCGCUUGAGGUGGAUUUGUUAUAGUAAACUAGUUACUUUGAAAAUUAAAGCGCCAAACAUUUUGACGAGCUGGCUUCGUAUCUGUAUCUGCCGUCGUGUUGAGCGGCAAAUGAGCGAAGAUGAGUGCCAAACAUCCAAACAAAUGAGACGAGGGAGUACCGAGCACCGCGCUCCUGCGGCUGCAGGCCAUAAACAUUUGUUGCCGCUCGUGUAAUAGCAGAAACACUUAUUUGUAAUGGAAUUAGUCAUGCAGCAGGCAGCAGGCAGCGGGCAGCGACGUCGACGGGAGCGUCCAAUAGCCAAGUGAGCGGAGGCAGCUGCUCCACGCAUCUUCAUCGCGGAUCGCAGGCUUCAGUCGCGCGGCAGCUUCAGCGGCGGCCGCCUCGAAAGGCGAAGCAGAAACAAAAGACUCAGGCAACGAACUUGCUGCAGGCAUUGCUGCUGCAAAUUGUUUUCCCUUAGUGCGUGGGAGUUUUCGCUGGGUUUAGUUCGGUUUUGUUUGGUUUUGUUUUUCGGCACAACUAAUGAGCUGGAUUAUGCCUCAGACUUCACAAAUGUGUCCGUUUGGAUUGGCGUUGACAUGGAUUCAAGUCGGAUAAGCUGCAAUUGAGAUCACAUUAAAAAAUCAUUUAAUUUCCUGCAUCGGCUAAUUUACAUUGAACGUGCCAGACAGAGAGGCCAUCUAGACGAAGUUGGACUUGGAGUUGAACACACACGGAGAUGGAAAGGGAGAGGGUAGCUAAUGGCACCCAGCCAGGUGAUGAUGCGCCAAGUCGAAGACACUGACGAUUUGUAAUUGCUGAUGGCUGCUCUAGAGCUUCGAGAGGGGCGGACCUUGAAAUACAUAUGUAUCCGUAUCUGUAUCUGUAUCUGUAUCUGUAUCUGCAGAUCGGAAUCUAUGUUUGCUUUGUAACCUAGAAUGCGGACGAGUGGAGCGACGCCAACGUGUAAUUUAAAUUAAACUACGAUAAUUUCUGAUGCAAUGCCCCCAACGACGGACAGAAUCAAUUAAUGCUUCUUUUGAUGUAAAUUGCGCCUCACUUUGAAUAUGCCGUGCCACUCUAGAUGAUGAUAUUUCGAGAGCGAUUUUGGAUCUUUGUGAUCACUGGCUCUGUGGCUCCGAGUUCUUCGCACACAUCGACUGCAUUUUUGGCCCGACGCGAAGGUCGCUGCCUUUUGCCAGAAUCCGGAGUAAAAGUCGAUUGACUCACACACAAAAUUGCCAAACUUUGACAUUUCAAACUGUUUGAACAUUAAAGUGAACUGAAACGGA